CAUGAAGCUGGAAUCGCUAGUAAUCGCGGAUCAGAAUGCCGCGGUGAAUACGUUCCCGGGUCUUGUACACACCGCCCGUCACACCAUGGGAGUCGGAAAUGCCCGAAGUCUGUGACCCAACCUACGGGAGGGAGCAGCCGAAGGCAGGUCGGAUGACUGGGGUGAAGUCGUAACAAGGUAUC
rnacentral:rRNA from 1 species